rnacentral:ribozyme from 12 species
GGAGGACAGAGAUUGAGAAGAUAUAGGAGACACGAUGACCGAGUCAUUGGCUUCAUUUUUGCCUAUGUUCUGCGUCUUUUUUUUCCUCUCGCUUUCUUUGUCUCCUUUACUUUCUUUGUCUCCUU